rnacentral:rRNA from 1 species
UACGUAGGGUGCAAGCGUUGUCCGGAAUUACUGGGCGUAAAGGGCGCGUAGGCGGUUCGUUAAGUCCUGUGUGAAAUCCCCCGGCUCAACUGGGGAACUGCACAGGAAACUAGCGGGCUUGAGUUCGGGAGAGGGAAGCGGAAUUCCAGGUGUAGCGGUGAAAUGCGCAGAUAUCAGGAGGAACACCGGUGGCGAAGGCGGGUCUCUGGGCCGAUACUGACGCUGAGGAGCGAAAGCGUGGGGAGCGAACAGG